AUUUAAUUCUCUCAGGGCAAGCCUGGGCUUUCUUCUUGUUCCCCUUUUUUUUGACGUUCUCUCCGGUGGGGUUUAGGGAAGGCCUAAAGUGGUCUCGCAUAAUCAUAUCGACUGUUUUCAUUCCCACUGGGGACUAGGCAGCUCUCUGCCAUCUGUGCUUUACUGACUGAAAAUCUGCUAUGCAGAAUAUUGAAUUGACUUUAGAUCUAUGCACUUUGGCUUGUUAAAUGUAUGGCCACUUAAACAGCAUGAAUAUCACGUACUGAAUUCUAACCCCUUUUAUAAACUAUUGCCUUGUCUUCGUACUGGCUCCGUAUGAGAAGUUGUAGAGGCCAUAGCCCACCCUGCAAAAACUCAGUGCCGUAAACCACAGAGCAUGCUAUUAAUAGAGCUCUCUUCCUGUUCCCCCUUCUUAAAGCUUUAGUUUGUAUCCAAGCUGUUUACAUAAGACGUAGCUUCUGAUAUGGUCAGUGAUGAAUGAAAAUGAUGGAUCCUAAAUUCUAUCUUGGAACGUGAACUCUGUAUAUACUCACAAGUUUUCGAUCAUUUUAAAAUCGAGUAAUGUUAAAGGUUGUUGCGUGAAUUCGUGUGGCCUGCUUGAGAGGACUUUUCCUAGAUGUUUUAUCCAGUUGCGUUGUUCAUUGUUUUGUGCUGCUCAGAUGUGCCGAUACGGAGCCGUGGCUUUGAAAAGCAUGCAGAAAGUGUCAAACGAACUAAUUUUUAUCAUUUAUCAGCACACAGUUCUGUCACCACCUGAGAUAUCUUCACUGAACAGACUCUUAAGAUACUGAAGAGAACAUUUCUCUAUCUGGUUAUAGGUUUAUGCAAUGCACGUUUAUUUCUUCCGCCUCUCUUCUUUCCAAAUACAUGCGCAUGCUUUCGCAAUAUGCACUCGCUCCCUGUCAGUCUGAUGUAGAUGGAGUGAGACUGCUACUCUACUGUUUAGGCUUUUUCUGCUUACUCUUUUUGUUUCUGCUUUCACCCAGUCACACAGUGUAGUCACAUACUUUGGAAAAAUUGCCCGAAAGGCAGCACAAAUUCACACCAAGUCUGUGUCUUAGCAGUGAAGAAAUGCCAGAGCAGUGCUACUACUAGAGAUUGCAGCAGAAAAGAUAUCAGCUGAGCUGUUUUCUGUGCUACAAACCUUUUUUUUUUUUUUCAGUCUUGCCUAACCGUCAACCAAGUGACCAAAUAACAGGCCACAAGAGCAAAUCCUAAACAUUCGUGAUCAUAGAUAUCAUGUGAUUGGGAGAACAUGAGUCUGUAUCGUGAUCGUGGCUCUGUUUAAAAGGAGUUGGUGUGUUAAGGCCCCCUGCCUGACUGCUAUUUAAAGCAGAACUGUUGAAUGCCUCUGCAUUUGCAGACGUGCGCGGCAUUACAGUGAGAGGAAACUCUGUGUGUGUGUGUGUGUAAGAGUGAGAGCGAUCUUCUCUGCACUUGUUUAUAUGUCUGUAGAGUAGACUAGGAAUCUGCAAACCGUGUCCUUUAUCACAGCAAGGCUGAUGCAGAGAAAACGAAAGUGCUUGUGGAGGUUUAUUAGAGUUUUGGAAAUCAUGCCUACAUUAGAUUUGCUGAUCUGAUUGUUGUCACCUUGACCUUUGAUUGACCCCGCAUCGUUCACUAGCUGCAUUUGUUAAAUGCAGAUUUCCUUUAAAAUGAUCCUUUCUUGAUGACGUUAACAAGAUUCCGGAAAGUUUGUAUAUGGAAAUGUUCCAUAACUCCGAUCUAUGUUUAUACGGAGCAGAGACCAUGUGACUCCUGGGAAUGAUUCCCAAACACUGAGUCCAAAUGAGAAUGAAGUGAGUGCAGUGUCAACAUCCAGUUCUGAUGAAGUGUGUGCCAAAUGCUGCUUUUAUUGGCAAUAUUGUAAUCUAAUCAGCAGAUUUAUUGAGUACUGUUGCCUCUUUAUGGAGAAAGAAAGAAAACAGAGAUGUUGUAUGUAAUGUAAUGUGAGGUUUUUAUUAUUAAAACUGCAGCAACCAUAAAAUGGAUAUCUCUGGACAUUGUGGUCUUUUGUAUUUGUGGUUUCACAAUAAAAAGGCUGCAGUAUUUAAGAGGACAUUAUGUUUUAUGAUUUGAAAUGCACAGACACACUCACACACACCUUAUACUCUGAAUGCAAGCAUUAGUUUAAAUUCACUGAUAUGGUGGCAGGCCAAAAAGAUUUAUUAAAAGCAUGAACAUGUGAAUAAUUAUCAGUGACAUUAGGCUACAUUUAGCUGACAGGACACGGGCUGAAUGGCGAUGCACGAUGGCCCAUUCGGAGGUAGUUUAUAACACUGCAGUGUGUUAGCGUCUUUAACAAAUAACUGGCUAUCGCAAACAUUACACGGAGCAUAACUUAAGCUGGUUUCACGACCACAAUGCCAACUGCCUCAAACAAACAUAAUAUAGGACCGUCUUUCAGAUGUUUCGCCAAAUUCCAGGUGUUUCCUCGCUUUGUUUGAAAUGAACUAGCAUCAAUUGUAUGUUUGUUGUCAUCUGCCUCGAAUGCGAAGUAUUUCCGUAUUCCAUACCACCUUUCCUCUCAAUGAGUUGGGGCAGAGCUAAACUUCUGUAGUAUUUCCCAUGUGCUUGUAGGCGUUCUUCUUCUUCUUUACCAUUUGUGGACCGACUAAAACACUUGCGCGUAUUUGCUGCCCCCAUCAGGUCCGGAAGAAUUGCAACCCGGUACCUUCAUUACUACGG
ensembl:lncRNA